CCUACGGGCGUCAGCAGUGGGGAAUAUUGGACAAUGGGGGCAACCCUGAUCCAGCCAUGCCGCGUGUGUGAAGAAGGCCCUCGGGUUGUAAAGCACUUUCAGUGAGGAAGAACGCCUGGUGGUUAAUACCCAUCAGGAAAGACAUCACUCACAGAAGAAGCACCGGCUAACUCCGUGCCAGCAGCCGCGGUAAUACGGAGGGUGCGAGCGUUAAUCGGAAUUACUGGGCGUAAAGCGCGCGUAGGUGGCUUGAUAAGCCGGUUGUGAAAGCCCCGGGCUCAACCUGGGAACGGCAUCCGGAACUGUCAAGCUAGAGUGCAGGAGAGGAAGGUAGAAUUCCCGGUGUAGCGGUGAAAUGCGUAGAGAUCGGGAGGAAUACCAGUGGCGAAGGCGGCCUUCUGGACUGACACUGACACUGAGGUGCGAAAGCGUGGGUAGCAAACAGGAUUAGAUACCCGGGUAGUC
rnacentral:rRNA from 1 species